UCCAGAGGGGGCAAGCGUUGUUCGGAAUUACUGGGCGUAAAGGGCGCGUAGGCGGCCCGCUAAGUCGAACGUGAAAUCCCCGAGCUCAACUCGGGAACUGCGUCCGAUACUGGUGGGCUUGAAUCCGGGAGAGGGAUGCGGAAUUCCAGGUGUAGCGGUGAAAUGCGUAGAUAUCUGGAGGAACACCGGUGGCGAAGGCGGCAUCCUGGACCGGCAUUGACGCUGAGGCGCGAAAGCUAGGGGAGCAAACGGG
rnacentral:rRNA from 1 species